UACAGAGGGUGCGAGCGUUAAUCGGAAUUACUGGGCGUAAAGCGUGCGUAGACGGUUACGUAAGUCGGGUGUGAAAGCCCCGGGCUCAACCUGGGAAUUGCAUUCGAGACUGCAUAGCUAGGGUGCGGAAGAGGGAAGCGGAAUUUCCGGUGUAGCGGUGAAAUGCGUAGAUAUCGGAAGGAACAUCAGUGGCGAAAGCGGCUUCCUGGUCCAGCACCGACGUUCAGGCACGAAAGCGUGGGGAGCAAACAGG
rnacentral:rRNA from 1 species